rnacentral:tRNA from 1 species
GCCUUCGUGGUGUAGUGGUCAGCACGUUCGAUGCGUUAUGAGAGAUCCGUGGUUCGAGUCCCGGCGAGGGCA